AAAGUUCGGAUAUGGAGCAUUCCUGAUCAUCAAGUUGUUGACUGGAACGAUCUUCAUGAGAUGGUCACAGCUGCCUGCUAUACACCGGAUGGGCAGGGUGCAUUGGUUGGUUCAUACAAAGGAACAUGUUGCUUAUACAACACACAUGAUAACAAACUGCAGCAGAGGCGUGAAAUCAAUCUGAAGAACAG